rnacentral:rRNA from 1 species
GAUGAACGCUGGCGGCGUGCCUAAUACAUGCAAGUCGAGCGAACAGACGAGGAGCUUGCUCCUCUGACGUUAGCGGCGGACGGGUGAGUAACACGUGGAUAACCUACCUAUAAGACUGGGAUAACUUCGGGAAACCGGAGCUAAUACCGGAUAAUAUAUUGAACCGCAUGGUUCAAUAGUGAAAGACGGUUUUGCUGUCACUUAUAGAUGGUUCCGCGCCGCAUUAGCUAGUUGGUAAGGUAACGGCUUAUCAAGGCAACGAUGCGUAGCCGACCUGAGAGGGUGAUCGGCCACACUGGAACUGAGACACGGUCCAGACUCCUACGGGAGGCAGCAGUAGGGAAUCUUCCGCAGUGGGCGAAAGCCUGACGGAGCAACGCCGCGUGAGUGAUGAAGGUCUUCGGAUCGUAAAACUCUGUUAUUAGGGAAGAACAAAUGUGUAAGUAGCUAUGCACGUAUUGACGGUACCUAAUCAGAAAGCCACGGCUAACUACGUG